rnacentral:rRNA from 1 species
CACGUAGUUAGCCGGGGCUUCUUAGUCAGGUACCGUCAUUUUUUCUUCCCUGCUGAUAGAGCUUUACAUACCGAAAUACUUCUUCACUCACGCGGCGUCGCUGGAUCAGGGUUUCCCCCCAUUGUCCAAUAUUCCCCACUGCUGCCUCCCGUAGGAGUUUGGGCCGUGUCUCAGUCCCAAUGUGGCCGUCCACCCUCUCAGGCCGGCUACUGAUCGUCGCCUUGGUGGGCCGUUACCUCACCAACCAGCUAAUCAGACGCGGGUCCAUCAUAUACCACCGUAGUUUUUCACACUGUCUCAUGCAAUACUGUGCGCUUAUGCGGUAUUAGCACCUAUUUCUAAGUGUUAUCCCCCUGUAUAUGGCAGGUUACCCACGCGUUACUCACCCGUCCGCCACUAAGUCAUCAACAUUUCCACUCUUAGCAAGCUAAUUGCUUCAAAAAUGAUGACUCCGUUCGACUUGCAUGUGUUAAGCACGCCGCCAGCGUUCAUCCUGAGCCA